rnacentral:rRNA from 1 species
UACGUAGGGGGCAAGCGUUGUCCGGAUUUAUUGGGCGUAAAGAGCGUGUAGGCGGCUUUACAGGUCCGUUGUGAAAACUCGAGGCUCAACCUCGAGACGCCGGUGGAAACCGUAAAGCUAGAGUCCGGAAGAGGAGAGUGGAAUUCCUGGUGUAGCGGUGAAAUGCGCAGAUAUCAGGAAGAACACCCGUGGCGAAGGCGGCUCGCUGGGACGGUACUGACGCUGAGACGCGAAAGCGUGGGGAGCGAACAGG